rnacentral:tRNA from 1 species
AGUAAGGUCAGCUAAUUAAGCUGUCGGGCCCAUACCCCUAAAAUGUAGGUUAAAAUCCUACCCUUACUA